rfam:Arabis alpina cultivar Pajares Aa.chr1_contig_187, whole genome shotgun sequence.
CUUGUAUCCUUGUGCGUUGUAGUCUGAAAAAGCUCAGAAAUUGUCUGUGUUCUCAUCAGCUUGGUCUCUCUUUUACCUAUGAGACUAGAGUUAAACAAGAUCACCAAAUUC